GCUAUAAAAUAAGUCCUGAGAGUGUAAUAUACAGCCUGGUGAGUAUAAUUAAUACUGUCUCAUAUACUUGAAAGUUGCUAAGAGUAAAUCUUGAAAAUUCUCAUCACAAGAAAAAAUUAUAACUAUAUGAUGAUGUUAAGUGGACUUAUUUGUAUAUUGAGAAAUGAUCACAAUAUCAAAUUAUGAUGUACCCCUGAAACUGUUAUAUGUUAAUUAUGUCUCAAUUUUUUUCAAACAAAAAAAAACCCUAAUUUGAGCUAUAACAGAGACAGAAGGUUUACACUCAUUUAAUGUAAACCAUGUGAUGAGUUUGCCUCAUUUCCAGUUUUUGUACUUAACUAAAUUUAUAGGCCUAUGUCUGAGAAGAGGUCUUAUAUUUUCCUACUUGUCCUGUGUUUCACUGGCAGUUUCCCACAUUGUUUUAUUAUCGUAAGUAUGUGGGUUCCCCCCCCAAUGAAGAUAUAGAAGGAAUUGGGAAAUUUAUAACAUCAUGGUACAACAAGGUUGAGCCAGAAGCCCCCAAUAAAUAUUAAAGCUAGAAAGGAAGUGGUUGGGGAGCAAGGUGUUUCCCUGGUCUUAAUUUCUCCCCACUGACGGCUCAUUAGUGGUUGGAAUUUCAGUAAAAUAAAUACAUUCCUUGUAUUCUGAAGGCAGUGGAGAGGCAAAGAUCUACCCUAUAUGAACUCAGGAUUGGGUACUGUGAUGGAGUAAAUAUGGAGCCUCCAGACACAGCCCCCUCCAUUGAGAAGCCCCACCUUCAGGGCUGUAGUGAUACCAAGCCCUGGAGUUGGACCUAUGUUCUGCCUUCACACUGUGUGUGGGGAUGAAUAGAGAGGAGCAGUGAUUCCUGGGCCUUAGUUUCUCCAGCUGCAAAAUGCAAGCCUUGAAUGAGAUGAUCAUCAUCUGACACAAGCCAAUGGCCUCUCUUUCUGUAUGCAAGGGAUCCCAGCAGACAUGUGGUUGGCCAAGGAGAAUUGUAAGCAGCUGAAAGUUUUUGAAAAUCCCAGGAGACUGAUUCUCUGAAAGGCGGUGUUAAUGGCCUGGGGUGGAGUCAACUUAGCUGACUGUGGGUGAUAGAGCAUGCUCAGAAGUGGGCCUGGAUGACUAGUUACAGUCAGGGAGAUGUAGUGAGGGGCCCAGGAGCAUGUUCCAGGUUGGGGAGAGCCAUUGCCUCCUUCAGGAAUGCUGGCCCAUGUCCCAACUACAUGUAUUUGGACCAUCUUUUCAGGUGCCCAAGAAGGGGUCCAGAAGAGCCUGCAUUGUUGCUGACAUCACUGGAUAAUUGGAAGAGGCACCAUCCCAGAGAUCAACACCCUUGGGAGCAGCAGAUAGCAUGCUCCCAAGAGGAAGGAAGGCAGAG